rnacentral:rRNA from 1 species
GGUUAAGUGACUAAGCGUACACGGUGGAUGCCUUGGCAGUCAGAGGCGAUGAAAGACGUAGUAACUUGCGAUAAGCCCAGAUUAGGUAGUAACAACCAUUUGAGUCUGGGAUUUCUGAAUGGGGAAACCCACGUGCAUAAGCACGUAUCCUUACCUGAAUACAUAGGGUAAGGAGGCGAACCGGGGGAACUGAAACAUCUAAGUACCCCGAGGAAAAGAAAUCAACCGAGAUUCCGAAAGUAGCGGCGAGCGAAAUUGGACUAGCCCUUAAGCUUUACACGCGUUAGACGAACGGUCUGGAAAGUCCGACGAUACAGGGUGAUAGUCCCGUAGUUGACGACGUGUGUUCAGUGAAAUCGAGUAGGGCGGGACACGUGAUAUCCUGUCUGAAUAUGGGGGGACCAUCCUCCAAGGCUAAAUACUACUGACUGACCGAUAGUGAACCAGUACCGUGAGGGAAAGGCGAAAAGAACCCCUGUGAGGGGAGUGAAAUAGAACCUGAAACCGUGUACGUACAAGCAGUAGGAGCAGGCUUUGUCCUGUGACUGCGUACCUUUUGUAUAAUGGGUCAGCGACUUAUAUUCAGUGGCAAGGUUAACCAUCUAGGGGAGCCGUAGGGAAACCGAGUCUUAACUGGGCGUUCAGUCUCUGGAUAUAGACCCGAAACCAGGUGAUCUAGCCAUGGGCAGGUUGAAGGUUGAGUAACAUCAACUGGAGGACCGAACCGACUAAUGUUGAAAAAUUAGCGGAUGACUUGUGGCUAGGGGUGAAAGGCCAAUCAAACCUGGAGAUAGCUGGUUCUCCCCGAAAGCUAUUUAGGUAGCGCCUCGGACGAAUACUACUGGGGGUAGAGCACUGUUAAGGCUAGGGGGUCAUCCCGACUUACCAACCCUUUGCAAACUCCGAAUACCAGUAAGUACUAUCCGGGAGACACACGGCGGGUGCUAACGUCCGUCGUGGAGAGGGAAACAACCCAGACCGCCAGCUAAGGUCCCAAAUUACUACUAAGUGGGAAACGAUGUGGGAAGGCUCAGACAGCCAGGAUGUUGGCUUAGAAGCAGCCAUCAUUUAAAGAAAGCGUAAUAGCUCACUGGUCGAGUCGGCCUGCGCGGAAGAUGUAACGGGGCUAAGUAGUAAACCGAAGCUGCGGCAAUAUACUUUUGUAUAUUGGGUAGGGGAGCGUUCUGUAAGCGGUUGAAGGUGUGUGGUAACGCAUGCUGGACGUAUCAGAAGUGCGAAUGCUGACAUGAGUAACGAUAAAGGGGGUGAAAAACCUCCUCGCCGGAAGACCAAGGGUUCCUGUCCAACGUUAAUCGGGGCAGGGUAAGUCGACCCCUAAGGCGAGGCCGAAAGGCGUAGUCGAUGGGAAACGGGUUAAUAUUCCCGUACUUCUUACAAUUGCGAUGGGGGGACGGAGAAGGCUAGGUGGGCCUGGCGACGGUUGUCCAGGUUCAAGUGCGUAGGCUUAAGAGUUAGGUAAAUCCGGCUCUUUUUAAGGCUGAGACACGACGUCGAGCUACUACGGUAGUGAAGUCAUUGAUGCCAUGCUUCCAGGAAAAGCCUCUAAGCUUCAGAUUGUAAGGAAUCGUACCCCAAACCGACACAGGUGGUCGGGUAGAGAAUACCAAGGCGCUUGAGAGAACUCGGGUGAAGGAACUAGGCAAAAUGGUACCGUAACUUCGGGAGAAGGUACGCUCUUGAUGGUGAAGUCCCUUGCGGAUGGAGCUGACGAGAGUCGCAGAUACCAGGUGGCUGCAACUGUUUAUUAAAAACACAGCACUGUGCAAAAUCGUAAGAUGACGUAUACGGUGUGACGCCUGCCCGGUGCCGGAAGGUUAAUUGAUGGGGUUAGACUUCGGUCGAAGCUCUUGAUCGAAGCCCCGGUAAACGGCGGCCGUAACUAUAACGGUCCUAAGGUAGCGAAAUUCCUUGUCGGGUAAGUUCCGACCUGCACGAAUGGCGUAAUGAUGGCCACGCUGUCUCCACCCGAGACUCAGUGAAAUUGAAAUCGCUGUGAAGAUGCAGUGUACCCGCGGCUAGACGGAAAGACCCCGUGAACCUUUACUACAGCUUGGCACUGAACAUUGACCCUACAUGUGUAGGAUAGGUGGGAGGCUUUGAAGCACGUACGCCAGUAUGUGUGGAGCCGUCCUUGAAAUACCACCCUUGUAGUGUUGAUGUUCUAACGUCGACCCCUUAUCGGGGUUGCGGACAGUGCCUGGUGGGUAGUUUGACUGGGGCGGUCUCCUCCCAAAGAGUAACGGAGGAGCACGAAGGUGGGCUAAUCACGGUUGGACAUCGUGAGGUUAGUGCAAUGGCAUAAGCCCGCUUGACUGCGAGAAUGACAAUUCGAGCAGGUGCGAAAGCAGGUCAUAGUGAUCCGGUGGUUCUGAAUGGAAGGGCCAUCGCUCAACGGAUAAAAGGUACUCCGGGGAUAACAGGCUGAUACCGCCCAAGAGUUCAUAUCGACGGCGGUGUUUGGCACCUCGAUGUCGGCUCAUCACAUCCUGGGGCUGAAGUCGGUCCCAAGGGUAUGGCUGUUCGCCAUUUAAAGUGGUACGCGAGCUGGGUUUAGAACGUCGUGAGACAGUUCGGUCCCUAUCUGCCGUGGGCGUUGGAAGAUUGAAGGGGGCUGCUCCUAGUACGAGAGGACCGGAGUGGACGAACCUCUGGUGUUCGGGUUGUGUCGCCAGACGCAUUGCCCGGUAGCUAAGUUCGGAAUCGAUAACCGCUGAAAGCAUCUAAGCGGGAAGCGAGCCCUGAGAUGAGUCUUCCCUGAUACUUUAAGUAUCCUAAAGGGUUGUCGGAGACUACGACGUUGAUAGGUCAGGUGUGUAAGUGCUGUGAGGUAUUGAGCUAACUGAUACUAAUUGCCCGUGAGGCUUAACCAU